rnacentral:rRNA from 1 species
GACGAACGCUGGCGGCGUGCUUAACACAUGCAAGUCGUACGGUAAGGCCCUUUCGGGGGUACACGAGUGGCGACCGGGUGAGUAACACGUGCGUAACCUGCCCACAACUUUGGGAUAACGCUAGGAAACUGGUGCUAAUACUGGAUAUGUGCUCCUGCUGCAUGGUGGGGGUUGGAAAGCUCCGGCGGUUGUGGAUGGACUCGCGGCCUAUCAGCUUGUUGGUGGGGUAGUGGCCUACCAAGGCGGCGACGGGUAGCCGGCCUGAGAGGGUGACCGGCCACAUUGGGACUGAGAUAAGGCCGAGACUCCUACGGGAGGCAGCAGUGGGGAAUAUUGCACAAUGGGCGCAAGCCGGAUGCAGCAACGCCGCGUGCGGGAUGACGGCCUUCGGGUUGUAAACCGCUUUCAGCAGGGACGAAGCUUUUUGUGACGGUACCUGCAGAAGAAGCACCGGCUAACUACGUG